CACAAUACAAUAAAAAACCUUUAUUGGCAUUUCAAGUUAAGACAUUCCAAAAUGGCUUGAGAUACAAAGUCUUUCUUCUUCCUGUUUCCUGUUUCCAAGAGAUUUGAAUGGGGAAAUCCUUUCGAUUCUUCAAUAAUAAGAGGCAGUGGGGUGAGGGAGGCCAGGGCCACAUCCACACCAUUUAACGCGCUAUGAAGCCGCUUUAAACACUCAUGGCUAAACACCCCAAAGACUCUGGGAGCUAUAGUUGGAAAGGGUGCCAAGAGUUGUUAGGGACCCGUUCCCUGCCAAGAAGGGAACCCUACCUCUACCCCUACCCCUGACGCUCACCCUAACUCUAGCCCUAACACUAACCUUUAAGCCUUAACUAGAGCUACAAUUCCCAGAGUUCCCUGCCAAGGGAACCCCAACCCUACCCCUGCCAAGAAGGGAACCCUACCUCUACAACUACCCCUACCCCUGACGCUCACCCUAACUCUAGCCCUAACACUAACCUUUAAGCCUUAACUAGAGCUACAAUUCCCAGAGUUCCCUGGCAAAAAGGGAACCCUAACCCUAAUCCUAACCCUGCCCCCUAACUAGAGCUGCCAUUCCCAGGUUCCCUGCCAGAGGAACCCAGCCCUACCCCUGCCCCUGACGCUAACCGUUCUUCUAUCCCUUUGCCUUAAUUAGAGCUACAAUUCCCAGGGUUCCCUGGCAAGAAGGGAACCCCAACCCUACCCCUGCUCCUGACGCUAACCCUAACUCUAACCCUUAACUAGAGCUACAAUUCCCAGAGUUCCCUGGCAAGAAGGAACCCUACCCCUACCCCAACCCCUACCCUACCCCUAGUCCUAAUACUUAACCACCAUAACAAGUCUCCGUCCCCUUAACCACCUACAGUUCCCAGAAUCCCUGAGGGGAAGCCAUUCCUGUUCAAAGUGUCUUCAUAGACCUUUCAGUGGACGGUGCGCCUAAUGUGGCCUAAUGUUUCCUCCCUCAUUUUCUUCUCUCUCCCCACUGCCCCAUCACUUGCAAUGCAGCAGGUGUCCGCCUGCAGUCUCCCUUCAAAGCUCCUUCUCUCAGGUAUGGCCACGGCCUUGUCCAUUGCUCGCUGCCAGUAUUUCACGUUCACUUCUUCCUGUUUCCUGUUUCCUGUUUCCAAGAGAUUUGAAUGGGGAAAUCCUUUCGAUUCUUCAAUAAGAGGCAGUGGGGUGAGGAAGCCAGGACCACAUCCACACCAUUUAACGCGCUAUGAAGCCACUUUAAACACUCAUGGCUAAACACCCCCAAAGACUCUGGGAGCUAUAGUUGGAAAAGGGUGCCAAGAGUUGUUAGGGGACCCCGUUCCCUGCCAAGAAGGGAACCCUAUCUCUACCCCUACCCCUACCCCUGACGCUCACCCUAACUCUAGCCCUAACACUAACCUUUAAGCCUUAACUAGAGCUACAAUUCCCAGAGUUCCCUGGCAAAAAGGGAACCCUAGCCCUAAUCCUAACCCCUGCCCCUAACUAGAGCUACAAUUCCCAGAGUUCCCUGCCAAGGGAACCCCAGCCCUACCCCUGCCCCUGGCGCUAACCCUAAUUCCUAACCCUUAGCCUUAAUUAGAGCUACAAUUCCCAGGGUUCCCUGGCAAGAGGAACCCUAACCCUAACCCUAACCCUGCCCUAACUAGAGCUACAAUUCCCAGAGUUCCCUGGCAAAAGGGAACCCCAGCCCUACCCCCUGCUCCUGGCGCUAACCCUAACUCUAACCCGUAACUAGAGCUACAAUUCCCUGAGUUCCCUGGCAGAAGGAACCCUACCCCUACCCCUACCCUACCCCUACCCUACCCCUACCCCAACCCCUACCCUACCCCUAGUCCUAAUACUUAACCACCAUAACAAGUCUCCGUCCCCUAACCACCUACAGUUCCCAGAAUCCCUGAGGGGAAGCCAUUCCUGUUUAAAGCAUCUUCAUAGCACUUUCAAUGGACGGUGCGCCUAAUGUAGCCUAAUGUUUCCUCCCUCAUUUCUUCUCUCUCCCCACUGCCCCAUCACUUGCAAUGCAGCAGGUGUCCGCCUGCAGUCUCCCUUCAAGGCUCCUUCUCUCAGGUAUGGCCACGGCCUUGUCCAUUGCUCACUGCCAGUAUUUCACGUUCACUUCUCCAAUGUAAAUAGGG
rnacentral:lncRNA from 1 species